rnacentral:sRNA from 1 species
GCCAGGUGCAGUGGCCCACGCCUGUAAUCCCAGCUGCUCAGGAGGCGGAGGCAGAAGGAUCAAAAGUUCAGAAUCAAUCUCAGCAAUGGCGAGGCACUAAGCAACUCAGUGAGACCCUGUCUCUA